UUAACGCUAGCGAUGUGCCUAAGGUAUGCAAGUCGAACGGUGAAUUUUGAGUAGCAAUACAAGAGAUUCAUAGUGGCAGACGGCUGAGUAAUAUGUGAGAACCUUCCCUUAAGUCUGGUAUAGCUCGCCGAAAGGCGGGGUAAUCCCGGAUAAUCUCGUAAGAGUAAAACUACGGUGCUUAAGGAUGGGCUCGCAUCCUAUCAGGUUGUUGGUGAGGUAACGGCUUACCAAGCCUAUGACGGGUAGCUGGUCUGAGAGGAUGGCCAGCCAGACUGGGACUGAGAUACGGCCCAGACUCCUACGGGAGGCAGCAACUAGGAAUUAUGCGCAAUGGACGAAAGUCUGACGCUGCGACAUCGCGUGAGGGAUAAAGGUCUUCGGAUCGUAAACCUCUUUUAUCUACGAACAAGUUCUGAGUGUAGUAGAUGAAUAAGUGCCUGCCAACCACGUGCCAGAAGCAUCGGUAAUACGUGGGACACAAGCGUUAUCCGGAAUUACUGGGCGUAAAGAGAUGCGUAGGCGGCUAAGCAAGUUCUGUGUAAAAGCCUGAGGCUCACCCUCAGUCAUGCGCAGGAAACUAUUUAGCUUGAGCAAGAUAGAGAAAAGGGGAAUUCCUGGUGGAGCGGUUAAAUGCGUUGAUAUCAGGAGGAACACCAAAUGCGAAGGCACCUUUUUGGAUCUUUGCUGACGCUAAGGCUCGAAAGCGUGGGGAGCAAAACGGAUUAGAUACCCGUGUAGUCCACGCUGUAAACGAUCCCUGCUAGAUAUUUGGAUCAAUCUUGAUUCUAUGACUUCGGUUAUAGGGUAUGGGUUAUCUGGGUGUCGCAGUUAACACGUUAAGCAGGGCGCCUGGGAAGUACGGCCGCAAGGCUAAAACCCAAAGGAAUUGACGGGGACCCGCACAAGCAGUGGAGCGCCUGGUUUAAUUCGAUGAUUAGCGAAGAACCUCACCUUGGCUUGAACUAUAGCUGCAUUUCUCCCCAAAAGGAGAAGGUCCUUCGAGGGUGCUAUAGAGGUGCUGCAUGGCUGUCGUAAGCUCGUGUCGUGAGAUGUAGGGUUAAGUCCCGCAACGAGCGAAACCCCUAUCCGAUGUUACAAUUACUUCGGAGACUGCCUGGUUUCAACUAGGAGGAAGGAGGGGAUGACGUCCAGUCAUCACGUCCCUUAUGUCAAGGGCUACACAGACGCUACAAUGGUUACUACAAUGGGUUGCCAAGCCGCGAGGCGGAGCUAAUCCCAUCAAAAGUAAUCUCAGUUCAGAUUGCAGUCUGCAACUCGACUGCAUGAAGUCGGAAUUGCUAGUAAUCGCGUAUCAGCAUGGCGCGGUGAAUACGUUCUCGGGUCUUGUACACACCGCCCGUCAGGGCAUGGGAGUUGCUUUUGCUCGAAGCUCUCGUUUAUCGAGGUCGAAAGUAAAGGCGGCGACUGGGCUU
rnacentral:rRNA from 1 species